UUUGCAUGAAACUGAAACUCCAAAGAGACCAGGUCGAGUGUGAUUAUCCGUAGGCAGACUUGAUAAGCUCCACUUCUUUCGAAGGAUAACAUCUUGGCGUGAUCAGAUUGUGAUAGAGAUGACAUUCAAGAUGAAGCCUCGUUCUUAUAGUUCAAUUUGGAGAGGGAGUCUGGGUCUCCCGUUCUGUAUAAAUAAGAGCACCCUUCACUUUGAUUCUGCAUUCUCCAUCAAGAACGCGCAUUGGGCAUACCGAGCUGAACUAGACGUGGCUUCUCCUCACGGUUUUUUGACAUCUCUCCACCGCCAAGCUUCGUAGCUACUUGAAAAGACCUCUGCUUCUACACAGUUUUGAAGAAGAGCAUCGCAGACACCAUUUGAACCAUCACUCGACAGAGGUAACAAGAAUCAUACGGCUCCCAUCUCUCUUGCGUUUUUGUGGCUGUAACUUAGUGAUCGAAGGUGAGCUGAGUGAAUGCUGCAAACUCUCUGAUCAAGGGUGGAGUGAUUUCUUCCUUUGGUGUUGAAACUCUGCACGGGGAUCAUCUUGGAGCAGCUUCCCCACUAUUGUGAACCCAAGAACUUUGCAGAUUUGUCCUUGGCGUGAACCAACAGCCCGAGGCUUUCACUUGACACUCAUCUUUGCCACCCA